CUGAAAGCGAAUUCUUCCCAUCAGCAACAACAACAAAUUAGGCUGAGUGAACUACUUACCGCAGCAACCAGGUCUGCGAGGGUUGUACCUUGGUCGAUAAUGGUGAGGACCUCACUUCUGUUCAACAACAGGAGCUGACCAAAAAGACAUCUAUCAAGCUCUUGAGACCUGUUGACAAACUAUCAAAGUUACUAAGGACGAUAGGAAUCUUCUUUGGCACACUUAAACGAGAGUAUUGUGUGGAGAUGAAAAAAGAGACUUAUCAGCACAU